rnacentral:lncRNA from 1 species
AUUCAUUAUGUCACCCGAUCGACAAUGUCGGGUGACAUAUUGCUUUUCCUCUGUUUCUUUUUCUGUAUUAUUAUUAUUAUACUUCCACCUAUUUUGUCCGGCAUGUUUUUUGGAGUGAAAUGGAACCAAUCUUAAUGAUAGUUCACUAUAAGGUGGAACAAAAAAUUUCGGGGUGCAGGUGGGUCUAAGACCUUAAAAAAUGGCUGCCGUUUCCAUGGAAACAGAAUAAUUGUGAAAAAUUCCAGUUUUUGGUUUUGGUGAAUAAUUUGGAGAUUCUUAAACUCAGAAUCAUCAUAUUUUGAUACAAUGUAGGUGCCAGCCAUAUACUGGUUUUGGAUGAUUUUGGCAAUCAUUGGAACUACUAUGUUGCCAUGGAAACUGCACCAAAAAUUUCAAAAAUAUCAAAAUGCUCCAAAUUUUUUGAAACUUCAUAGUAACGAUGAGCAACAUUGAUAGAUGUGCAAUUUGGCGUUGGAAUUUCGAAAAUGUCUGCUGUUACCAUGGAAACAAGUCGAAAAUGGUCAAAAUGCUUCAAAAACCUUAAAGUGGCAUUUACUUUCUUAAAAUGGUAGGUCAAAUCCAUUGAAACUUUGAUGGUAUGUUCCCUCCCAUGUACCAAUGUGGUAUCUGCCAUUAGAAAUUUGGAAUGGUAUCUGUUACCAUAGAAACCAGC